AUUGAACGCUGGCGGCAUGCUUUACACAUGCAAGUCGAACGGUAACAGGCCUUCGGGUGCUGCCGAGUGGCGAACGGGUGCGUAAUGCAUCGGAACGUGCCCAGAGGUGGGGGAUAACGCAGCGAAAGCUGUGCUAAUACCGCAUGUGAUCUGAGGAUGAAAGCGGGGGACCAGGCAGCAAUGUUUGGCCUCGCGCCUUUGGAGCGGCCGAUGUCAGAUUAGGUAGUUGGUGGGGUAAAGGCCUACCAAGCCGACGAUCUGUAGCUGGUCUGAGAGGACGACCAGCCACACUGGGACUGAGACACGGCCCAGACUCCUACGGGAGGCAGCAGUGGGGAAUUGUGGACAAUGGGCGCAAGCCUGAUCCAGCAAUGCCGCGUGCGGGAAGAAGGCCUUCGGGUUGUAAACCGCUUUUGUACGGAACGAAAAGGCUCUGGCUAAUACCUGGGGCUGAUGACGGUACCGUAAGAAUAAGCACCGGCUAACUACG
rnacentral:rRNA from 1 species